rnacentral:rRNA from 1 species
UACGGGGGGGGCAAGCGUUGUUCGGAAUUACUGGGCGUAAAGGGCCAGUAGGCGGCCAACUAAGUCCGACGUGAAAUCCCAAGGCUUAACCUUGGAACUGCGUCGGAUACUGGAUGGCUUGAAUUCGGGAGAGGGAUGCAGAAUUCCAGGUGUAGCGGUGAAAUGCGUAGAUAUCGUAAGGAAGACCAGUGGCGAAGGCGGGUCUCUGGACAGUUCCUGACGCUGAGGCACGAAGGCCAGGGGAGCAAACGGG